rnacentral:rRNA from 1 species
CCUACGGGAGGCAGCAGUGGGGAAUAUUGCACAAUGGGCGCAAGCCUGAUGCAGCGACGCCGCGUGAGGGAUGACGGCCUUCGGGUUGUAAACCUCUUUCAGUAGGGAAGAAGCGAAAGUGACGGUACCUGCAGAAGAAGCGCCGGCUAACUACGUGCCAGCAGCCGCGGUAAUACGUAGGGCGCAAGCGUUAUCCGGAAUUAUUGGGCGUAAAGAGCUCGUAGGCGGUUUGUCGCGUCUGCUGUGAAAGACCGGGGCUCAACUCCGGUUCUGCAGUGGGUACGGGCAGACUAGAGUGCAGUAGGGGAGACUGGAAUUCCUGGUGUAGCGGUGAAAUGCGCAGAUAUCAGGAGGAACACCGAUGGCGAAGGCAGGUCUCUGGGCUGUAACUGACGCUGAGGAGCGAAAGCAUGGGGAGCGAACAGGAUUAGAUACCCUGGUAGUCCAUGCCGUAAACGUUGGGCACUAGGUGUGGGGGACAUUCCACGUUUUCCGCGCCGUAGCUAACACAUUAAGUGCCCCGCCGUGGGGAGUACGGCCGCGAAGGCUAAACUUCAAAUGAAUUGAGG